rnacentral:rRNA from 1 species
CGGGCCGCGUGCUGAGACUGCAAGUCGAACGAACGAGCUUGCUCGUUAGUGGCGGACGGCUGAGUAACGCGUAGGUGACCUGCCCCGAAGUGGGGGAUAACUGCCCGAAAGGGUGGCUAAUACCGCAUGUGGCGAUGUGUUCAUUCACAUCAUCAAAGCCGCGAGGCGCUUCGGGAGGGGCCUGCGUCCGAUUAGCUCGUUGGUGGGGUAACGGCUCACCAAGGCGACGAUCGGUAGGUGGUCUGAGAGGACGAUCACCCAGACUGGGACUGAGACACGGCCCAGACUCCUACGGGAGGCAGCAGUCGGGAAUUUUGCUCAAUGGGGGAAACCCUGAAGCAGCAACGCCGCGUGCGGGAUGAAGGCCUUCGGGUUGUAAACCGCUUUUUUCAGGGACGAUGAUGACGGUACCUGAAGAAUAAGUCACGGCUAACUACGUGCCAGCAGCCGCGGUAAUACGUAGGUGACCAGCGUUGUCCGGAUUUACUGGGCGUAAAGAGCGCGCAGGCGGUCGUUCAAGUCGAGUGUGAAAGCCCCCGGCUCAACUGGGGAGGGUCAUUCGAUACUGAUCGACUCGAAGGCAGGAGAGGGAAGCGGAAUUCCCGGUGUAGUGGUGAAAUGCGUAGAUAUCGGGAGGAACACCAGCGGCGAAGGCGGCUUCCUGGCCUGUUCUUGACGCUGAGGCGCGAAAGCUAGGGGAGCAAACGGGAUUAGAUACCCCGGUAGUCCUAGCCGUAAACGAUGGACACUAUGUGUUGGUGGUAUCAACCCCACCAGUGCCGAAGCUAACGCAUUAAGUGUCCCGCCUGGGGAGUACGGCCGCAAGGCU